UACGGAAGGGGCAAGCGUUGUUCGGAAUCAUUGGGCGUAAAGGGCGCGUAGGUGGUUCUGUAUGUCUACCGUGAAAGCGUACGGCUCAACCGUAUUUUGUCGGUGGAAACUGCAGGACUUGAGGCUGGGAGGGGCUGGUGGAAUUCCCUGUGUAGCGGUGAAAUGCGUAGAUAUUGGGAGGAACACCAGUGGCGAAGGCGGCUCACUGGACCGGUACUGACGCUGAUGCGCGAAAGCGUGGGGAGCAAACGGG
rnacentral:rRNA from 1 species